CCAAAGGCUCUUUUCAGAGCCACUCAUGUUUUCAUAAAAGGAGCUG
rfam:Calypte anna contig3928, whole genome shotgun sequence.